UGUCCUGAUAAGAACACUUUUGGAUGACAUCAUGUGUUCGUCUUCCAUGGAGGCAUAAAGGGACAUCCCUGGAAAGGAGAUGACAACACUAUACAGUGAACUUCCAAACUCCACGCAGGAAGGCCGGAGCCCAGAUUCGAAGCCAUGAACCUGACCUGUGAGGCAGAUCCGCCAGGCUGUCUGAUCCAUUUGACCAACAGGUGCAUGUUAUGAUCAUGUGGCAAUUAUAUGUGAUUCAUUUAUUGCUUUUUAAGGUGGCAACAGAAAAAUUAUUUCGGCAAUUUUCAAUAUUUACUUCAUAAAGGUGGAAUUAAAAUCCAA